rnacentral:rRNA from 1 species
CCACCAAGGCGACGAUCAGUAGCCGACCUGAGAGGGUGACCGGCCACAUUGGGACGUGAGACACGGCCCACGAACUCCUACGGGAGGCAGCAUG